rnacentral:tRNA from 1 species
GGACUUGUAGCUCAAUGGCAGAGCAGCCAGUCGUAUUACACUAUACAACUUUGGUGUCUUGCAGGUUCAAAUCCUGCCGAGUCCGCCC